rnacentral:rRNA from 1 species
ACAAGCCUGAGAAACGGCUAGUAGGAAUAAGGUGUGCAGCAGGCGCGAAACUUACACAAUGCUAGAUUUCAAGUUAGCGAUGUAGUGAAGAAAAAUAACGAUGUGCUUGCAUUUAAAGAUGCUUGCACAAUUGGAAUGAGACGACUCUAAACCGGUCAGUCGAGUAACAAAUGGAGGGCAAGUCUGGUGCCAGCAGCCGCGGUAAUUCCAGCUCCAUUAGCAUACAUUAAAGUUGUUGCGGUUAAAAAGCUCGUAGUUGAAUGUAGUGGUUGUUUGGGUUAUAUGUAGGCGUUAAGCGGCCUCGGUCGUGUCUGCAUUUUAACUCAGAUAGCUAGUUUCGUCACUUAAUCGAGUGCGAAGCAGGUUUGGUUGUCCGGACGCAAGUCCAACACUCAAACAGGUUUACCUUGAGAAAAUCAGAGUGCUCAGAGCAGGCAGUUGGGGUGUAAAAACCUCUUUAUGCUUGAAUGAUGUUGCAUGGAAUAAUAGAAUACGGCCUCGGUUCUAUUCUGUUGGUCUUAUAGAACAACAAACAAGUUGGUGUCGUCACUGACGGCGUGGGAUUGGUGUGUCUGUUGGUGGGACUUGUUGUCUGGCGGUAAAACGUCAGUACCAACCAACCUCAGACAUAAAAAGCACCCUCCCCAUGCCAGACUUCCUCCAACUGAGGCAAUGGUUAAAAGAAAUAUUCGCGGCGGCAUCAGUACUGCAUCGUGAGAG